rnacentral:rRNA from 1 species
UAGGGAAUCGUCCGCAAUGGACGCAAGUCUGACGGAGCAACGCCGCGUGAGUGAAGAAGGAUUUCGGUUCGUAAAACUCUGUUGUUAGAGAAGAACAGCGCAUAGAGUAACUGUUAUGCGUGUGACGGUAUCUAACCAGAAAGCCACGGCUAACUACGUGCCAGCAGCCGCGGUAAUACGUAGGUGGCAAGCGUUGUCCGGAUUUAUUGGGCGUAAAGCGAGCGCAGGCGGUCAAUUAAGUCUGAUGUGAAAGCCCCCGGCUCAACCGGGGAGGGUCAUUGGAAACUGGUUGACUUGAGUGCAGAAGAGGAGAGUGGAAUUCCAUGUGUAGCGGUGAAAUGCGUAGAUAUAUGGAGGAACACCAGUGGCGAAGGCGACUCUCUGGUCUGUAACUGACGCUGAGGCUCGAAAGCGUGGGUAGCAAACAGG